AUUGAACGCUGGCGGCAUGCCUUACACAUGCAAGUCGAACGGCAGCGCGAGAGCAAUCCUGGCGGCGAGUGGCGAACGGGUGAGUAAUACAUCGGAACGUGCCCAAUCGUGGGGGAUAACGCAGCGAAAGCUGUGCUAAUACCGCAUACGAUCUACGGAUGAAAGCAGGGGAUCGCAAGACCUUGCGCGAAUGGAGCGGCCGAUGGCAGAUUAGGUAGUUGGUGAGGUAAAGGCUCACCAAGCCUUCGAUCUGUAGCUGGUCUGAGAGGACGACCAGCCACACUGGGACUGAGACACGGCCCAGACUCCUACGGGAGGCAGCAGUGGGGAAUUUUGGACAAUGGGCGAAAGCCUGAUCCAGCCAUGCCGCGUGCAGGAUGAAGGCCUUCGGGUUGUAAACUGCUUUUGUACGGAACGAAACGGUCUUUUCUAAUAAAGAAGGCUAAUGACGGUACCGUAAGAAUAAGCACCGGCUAACUACGUG
rnacentral:rRNA from 1 species